GUGAGGGUUGAGAAGGAGGUUGUGGAGGAUAAUGUGAGGGUUGAGGAGGAGGUUGUGGAGGAUAAUGUGAGGGUUGAGGAGGAGGUUGUGGAGGAUAAUGUGAGGGUUGAGAAGGAGGUUGUGGAGGAUAAUGUGAGGGUUGAGAAGGAGGUUGUGGAGGAUAAUGUGAGGGUUGAGAAGGAGGUUGUGGAGGAUAAUGUGAGGGUUGAGAAGGAGGUUGUGGAGGAUAAUGUGUUGGUUGAGAAGGAGGUUGUGGAGGAUAAUGUGAGGGUUGAGAAGGAGGUUGUGGAGGAUAAUGUGAGGGUUGAGAAGGAGGUUGUGGAGGAUAAUGUGAGGG